rnacentral:rRNA from 1 species
UACGUAGGGGGCAAGCGUUGUCCGGAUUUAUUGGGCGUAAAGAGCGUGUAGGCGGCCAUGCAGGUCCGUUGUGAAAACUCGAGGCUCAACCUCGAGACGUCGAUGGAAACCUCAUGGCUUGAGACCGGAAGAGGUAAGUGGAACUGCGAGUGUAGAGGUGAAAUUCGUAGAUAUUCGCAAGAACACCAGUGGCGAAGGCGGCUUACUGGUCCGGAUCUGACGCUGAGGCGCGAAAGCGUGGGGAGCAAACAGG